rnacentral:rRNA from 1 species
UUCGCCUGGUUUUUCAAAAACAUCGCCUCUUGAUUAAACAUAAGAGGUCCAGCCUGCCCAGUGACAUAGUUUAACGGCCGCGGUACCCUAACCGUGCGAAGGUAGCAUAAUCACUUGUUCUUUAAAUAGGGACUCGUAUCAACGGCAUCACGAGGGCUAUACUGUCUCCUUUCUCCAAUCAAUGAAACUGAUCUCCCCGUGAAGAAGCGGGGAUUAACCUAUAAGACGAGAAGACCCCAUGGAGCUUCAAACUCAACAUAUACCUCUACGCACUUAAACCACUUUAGCCCAAGAGACCUCUAUGUUAGUUUUGGGUUGGGGGGACCGCGGAGUAAAAAUUAACCUCCACGACAAACGGGCUUUAUGCCCUUAUCCACGAACCACAGCUCUAAGAAUCAAUAAACUGAUGUUUAUGACCCGAUUAUUCGAUCAACGAACCAAGUUACCCUGGGGAUAACAGCGCAAUCUACUUCAAGAGCCCCUAUCGACAAGUAGGUUUACGACCUCGAUGUUGGAUCAGGGUAUCCUAGUGGUGCAGCCGCUACUAAUGGUUCGUUUGUUCAACGAUUAAAACCCUACGUGAUCUGUUCCAAAACCCGGA